GAUGAACGCUAGCUACAGGCUUAACACAUGCAAGUCGCGGGGUAACAUUGAUCUAGCUUGCUAGAUCAGAUGACGACCGGCGCACGGGUGAGUAACGCGUAUCCAACCUGCCUUUUACCACGGGAUAGCCCCUCGAAAGAGGGAGUAAUACCGUAUGAGGUCAUGCGACGACAUCAGAUCAUGACGAAAGGUUUAGCGGUAAAAGAUGGGGAUGCGUCUGAUUAGGCAGUUGGCGGGGUAACGGCCCACCAAACCGACGAUCAGUAGGGGUUCUGAGAGGAAGGUCCCCCACAUUGGAACUGAGACACGGUCCAAACUCCUACGGGAGGCAGCAGUGAGGAAUAUUGGUCAAUGGUCGCAAGACUGAACCAGCCAAGUAGCGUGAGGGAAGACUGCCCUAUGGGUUGUAAACCUCUUUUAUCUGGGGAUAAAGUGAGCCACGUGUGGCUUAUUGCAGGUACCAGAAGAAUAAGGACCGGCUAAUUCCGUGCCAGCAGCCGAC
rnacentral:rRNA from 1 species